rnacentral:rRNA from 1 species
UACCAAAAACACAGGUUUGUGCUAAAUCGAAAGAUGACGUAUACGAGCUGACGCCUGCCCGGUGCUGGAAGGUUAAAAGGAGAUGUGCAAGCAUUGAAUUGAAGCCCCAGUGAACGGCGGCCGUAACUAUAACGGUCCUAAGGUAGCGAAAUUCCUUGUCAGGUAAGUUCUGACCCGCAUGAAAGGCGUAAUGAUCUGGGCACUGUCUCAACAGCCCGCCCGGCGAAAUUGUAGUACCGGUGAAGAUGCCGGUUACCCGCGACAAGACGGAAAGACCCCAUGGAGCUUUACUGUAGCCUGAUAUUGGGUUUCGGUGUUGCAUGCACAGGAUAGAUGGGACGCUGGGAAAGAAGCGCUUUGGCGUUUCCGGAGCGGACGUUGGGAUACCAUCCUUGCGACAUUGGAAUUCUAACCUGCGCCUCUGAAUCGAGGCGGGGGACAUUGUCAGGUGGGCAGUUUGACUGGGGCGGUCGCCUCCUAAAAAGUAGCGGAGGCGUUCAAAGGUUCGUUCGAUCUGGACGGAAACCAGAUGAUUGAGUGCAAACGCAUAAACGAGCCUGACUGCGAGACUGACGGGUCGAGCAGAGACGAAAGUCGGAGUUAGUGAUCCGGUGGUAUGUGAGUGGAAAUGCCAUCGCUCAACGGAUAAAAGUUACCCUGGGGAUAACAGGCUGAUCUCCCCCAAGAGUCCACAUCGACGGGGAGGUUUGGCACCUCGAUGUCGGCUCAUCGCAUCCUGGGGCUGAAUUCGGUCCCAAGGGUUUGGCUGUUCGCCAAUUAAAGCGGUACGCGAGCUGGGUUCAGAACGUCGUGAGACAGUUCGGUCCCUAUCUGUCGUGGGCGCAGGAUAUUUGAAAGGCGCUGUCCCUAGUACGAGAGGACCGGGAUGGACGAACCUCUGGUGCACCAGUUGUCACGCCAGUGGCACAGCUGGGCAGCUAUGUUCGGAUCGGAUAAACGCUGAAAGCAUCUAAGCGUGAAGCCGGCCUUAAGAUAAGAUAUCCCACUGAGUCAAUCAGGUAAGACCCCUUGAAGACUACAAGGUUGAUAGGCACACAGUGUAAGCGGAGUGAUCCGUUCAGCUAGCGUGUACUAAUAGGUCGAGGGCUUGACCCC